UACGGAGGAUGCAAGCGUUAUCCGGAAUUAUUGGGCGUAAAGCGUCCGCAGGUGGCACUUCAAGUCUGUCGUCAAAGACCGGGGCUUAACCCUGGAAAGGCGAUGGAAACUGAAAGGCUAGAGAGAGGUAGGGGUAGAGGGAAUUCCCAGUGUAGCGGUGAAAUGCGUAGAGAUUGGGAAGAACAUCGGUGGCGAAGGCGGCAUCCUGGACCAAUAUUGACGCUGAGGAGCGAAAGCUAGGGGAGCAAACGGG
rnacentral:rRNA from 1 species